rnacentral:tRNA from 1 species
GCAGAUAUGGUGUAAUGGUAUCACAGUAGAUUGCUAAGCUAUCCAGCAGAAAUGCUGUCAAGGUUCGAAUCCUUGUGUCUGCG